rnacentral:rRNA from 1 species
CGGCAGGCUUAACACAUGCAAGUCGAGGGGUAACAGGAUAGCUUGCUAUUGCUGACGACCGGCGCACGGGUGCGUAACGCGUAUACAAUCUACCUUAUACUGGGGUAUAGCCUUUAGAAAUGAAGAUUAACCCCCCAUAGUCUCUUAGAGUGGCAUCACUUUUGGAGUAAAGGUUACGGUAUAAGAUGAGUAUGCGUUCUAUUAGUUUGUUGGUGUGGUAACGGCACACCAAGACUGCGAUAGAUAGGGGCCCUGAGAGGGGGAUCCCCCACACUGGUACUGAGACACGGACCAGACUCCUACGGGAGGCAGCAGUGAGGAAUAUUGGACAAUGGAGGCAACUCUGAUCCAGCCAUGCCGCGUGCAGGAAGACUGCCCUAUGGGUUGUAAACUGCUUUUAUACAGGAAGAAACACCUCUACGUGUAGAGGCUUGACGGUACUGUAAGAAUAAGGAUCGGCUAA